GACGAACGCUGGCGGCGUGCCUAAUACAUGCAAGUCGAACGAACUCUGGUAUUGAUUGGUGCUUGCAUCAUGAUUUACAUUUGAGUGAGUGGCGAACUGGUGAGUAACACGUGGGAAACCUGCCCAGAAGCGGGGGAUAACACCUGGAAACAGAUGCUAAUACCGCAUAACAACUUGGACCGCAUGGUCCGAGUUUGAAAGAUGGCUUCGGCUAUCACUUUUGGAUGGUCCCGCGGCGUAUUAGCUAGAUGGUGGGGUAACGGCUCACCAUGGCAAUGAUACGUAGCCGACCUGAGAGGGUAAUCGGCCACAUUGGGACUGAGACACGGCCCAAACUCCUACGGGAGGCAGCAGUAGGGAAUCUUCCACAAUGGACGAAAGUCUGAUGGAGCAACGCCGCGUGAGUGAAGAAGGGUUUCGGCUCGUAAAACUCUGUUGUUAAAGAAGAACAUAUCUGAGAGUAACUGUUCAGGUAUUGACGGUAUUUAACCAGAAAGCCACGGCUAACUACGUGCCAGCAGCCGCGGUAAUACGUAGGUGGCAAGCGUUGUCCGGAUUUAUUGGGCGUAAAGCGAGCGCAGGCGGUUUUUUAAGUCUGAUGUGAAAGCCUUCGGCUCAACCGAAGAAGUGCAUCGGAAACUGGGAAACUUGAGUGCAGAAGAGGACAGUGGAACUCCAUGUGUAGCGGUGAAAUGCGUAGAUAUAUGGAAGAACACCAGUGGCGAAGGCGGCUGUCUGGUCUGUAACUGACGCUGAGGCUCGAAAGUAUGGGUAGCAAACAGGAUUAGAUACCCUGGUAGUCCAUACCGUAAACGAUGAAUGCUAAGUGUUGGAGGGUUUCCGCCCAUCAGUGCUGCAGCUAACGCAUUAAGCAUUCCGCCUGGGGAGUACGGCCGCAAGGCUGAAACUCAAAGGAAUUGACGGGGGCCCGCACAAGCGGUGGAGCAUGUGGUUUAAUUCGAAGCUACGCGAAGAACCUUACCAGGUCUUGACAUACUAUGCAAAUCUAAGAGAUUAGACGUUCCCUUCGGGGACAUGGAUACAGGUGGUGCAUGGUUGUCGUCAGCUCGUGUCGUGAGAUGUUGGGUUAAGUCCCGCAACGAGCGCAACCCUUAUUAUCAGUUGCCAGCAUUAAGUUGGGCACUCUGGUGAGACUGCCGGUGACAAACCGGAGGAAGGUGGGGAUGACGUCAAAUCAUCAUGCCCCUUAUGACCUGGGCUACACACGUGCUACAAUGGAUGGUACAACGAGUUGCGAACUCGCGAGAGUAAGCUAAUCUCUUAAAGCCAUUCUCAGUUCGGAUUGUAGGCUGCAACUCGCCUACAUGAAGUCGGAAUCGCUAGUAAUCGCGGAUCAGCAUGCCGCGGUGAAUACGUUCCCGGGCCUUGUACACACCGCCCGUCACACCAUGAGAGUUUGUAACACCCAAAGUCGGUGGGGUAACCUUUUAGGAACCAGCCGCCUAAGGUGGGACAGAUGAUUAGGGUG
rnacentral:rRNA from 1 species